rnacentral:sRNA from 1 species
AAGUUUAUCCCCACACUAAGUUCUAAUACGAAUUUCA